GCAGUCGACGGUGACGAGGGGCUUGCUCCUCUGAUCAGUGGCGAACGGGUGAGUAACACGUGAGUAACCUGCCCUUCACUCUGGGAUAACGCUGGGAAACUGGUGCUAAUACUGGAUAUGACCUGCUCGGGCAUCCGAUGUGGGUGGAAAGAUUUAUUGGUGGAGGAUGGACUCGCGGCCUAUCAGCUUGUUGGUGAGGUAAUGGCUCACCAAGGCGACGACGGGUAGCCGGCCUGAGAGGGCGAUCGGCCACACUGGGACUGAGACACGGCCCAGACUCCUACGGGAGGCAGCAGUGGGGAAUAUUGCACAAUGGGCGAAAGCCUGAUGCAGCGACGCCGCGUGAGGGAUGAAGGCCUUCGGGUUGUAAACCUCUUUCAGCAGGGAAGAAGCAGCCGGGUUUUCUUGGUUGUGACGGUACCUGCAGAAGAAGCACCGGCUAACUACGUGCCAGCAGCCGCGGUAAUACGUAGGGUGCAAGCGUUGUCCGGAAUUAUUGGGCGUAAAGAGCUUGUAGGCGGUUUGUCGCGUCUGCUGUGAAAUUUCGGGGCUCAACCCCGAACUUGCAGUGGGUACGGGCAGACUAGAGUGUGGUAGGGGAGACUGGAAUUCCUGGUGUAGCGGUGAAAUGCGCAGAUAUCAGGAGGAACACCGAUGGCGAAGGCAGGUCUCUGGGCCACUACUGACGCUGAGAAGCGAAAGCAUGGGGAGCGAACAGGAUUAGAUACCCUGGUAGAAUCACUAGUGAAUUC
rnacentral:rRNA from 1 species